rnacentral:lncRNA from 1 species
AAAAAAAAAAAAAAAAAGCUUUUUCUUUAAAAAAAAAAACCAGAGAGAAUAAAAAGGGUUGUUUAGUAUGAGACUUAAAAAUAAAUAAAUAAAAAGCUUAAAUAUUGGAUGAACACGGGUACUGGUGGUGGUGAUAGGGUGCUGGAGUGGUGGUGAUGGUGGUGGUGGGGUGGAGGAAACGUGGGGCCGAGUGAUGAAAGAGGUGGAGAUAAAUAGGUGGUGAGUAUAGAUUCCAUAUAAUCUAAAGAUCUUUCUUGUGUGUGAGUGAAUGAGAGAGAGACAAUGAUAUCAUCAAAAGCUUGUUAGAGAGAGAAAGAGAUGCUGUGUCCACUUACUUACAGUGGGCCAAUAUUGACA